UGCCAUAGAUCCCGAGGCUCCCAACGAGAUACUGAAUGUAUUGGUUUUAGUUCUCUGUAGCCUGAUUCUGGGACAAGAACCCUCUUACACCCAGCUCAUUAAUCAGGAUCAACAGGCAAUCAAUACAAUUAUUAUUAACCCUUAAAAAGGAUCAGGCAACAUACAUUUUGGAAACAACAAAGUUUUAUGCAUGUACAGAAAAGCCUCUCUCUGUAGAAGAUUUCCCCAGGCUAACUCUGAAGCGGGUGUGGCAGAGCUUAAAAACUAAAACACAGUUUGUAGGGGGGAAAUACCCAUAGAAAGGCCUUCAUGAAAUCUCAUCUAAAUGCAUGGAUAGGGGUUUAUGGUGCCCCUUCAGUUGUAAAAUUGUUUUCAUUAAGUCUUUUUUCUAAAGUAUGCAAAACCUUUGAUCAUUGGAGCUAUAAGAUUAAAAUUAGUGUACUGUUUUUAAUGACAAAAGAAAAAUUUCAUAAUCAGGGUGGAGUGAAAGCAUACAGACUAUAAAGGCUGUCCCAACCCCACAAUUCUCACUCCUGCUGAAUUCUGUUAGUUGUUCUGGGUUUCGUGAGUCAGUUAUUCUUCAAGAAUAUAAACAGAAAUAUGGAAAAUUUACUUGAUAGUAACCUUUUAAAAUAUUUCACCCAAUAUGCGUUGAUGGAGGGUAGUACCAGCGCGCUGUCCAUUGAUGGACUGAAAAACCUGCUUCAAAAUCAAUUUGCACAAUAUCUGCAGGGUGCAUUCUCUCUCGAUAACAUAAUUAAAUCGUUGGACAAAAAUAAUGAUGGGAAAGUCAGCUUUGAAGAAUUUGUGUCCAUUAUAAAACGUGUAACUGGCACAGGCCAGUAAGACAAAAGGA